AGUCGAACGGCAGCACGGGUGCUUGCACCUGGUGGCGAGUGGCGAACGGGUGAGUAAUACAUCGGAACAUGUCCUGUAGUGGGGGAUAGCCCGGCGAAAGCCGGAUUAAUACCGCAUACGAUCUACGGAUGAAAGCGGGGGACCUUCGGGCCUCGCGCUAUAGGGUUGGCCGAUGGCUGAUUAGCUAGUUGGUGGGGUAAAGGCCUACCAAGGCGACGAUCAGUAGCUGGUCUGAGAGGACGACCAGCCACACUGGGACUGAGACACGGCCCAGACUCCUACGGGAGGCAGCAGUGGGGAAUUUUGGACAAUGGGCGAAAGCCUGAUCCAGCAAUGCCGCGUGUGUGAAGAAGGCCUUCGGGUUGUAAAGCACUUUUGUCCGGAAAGAAAUCCUUGGUUCUAAUAUAGCCGGGGGAUGACGGUACCGGAAGAAUAAGCACCGGCUAACUACGUGCCAGCAGCCGCGGUAAUACGUAGGGUGCGAGCGUUAAUCGGAAUUACUGGGCGUAAAGCGUGCGCAGGCGGUUUGCUAAGACCGAUGUGAAAUCCCCGGGCUCAACCUGGGAACUGCAUUGGUGACUGGCAGGCUAGAGUAUGGCAGAGGGGGGUAGAAUUCCACGUGUAGCAGUGAAAUGCGUAGAGAUGUGGAGGAAUACCGAUGGC
rnacentral:rRNA from 1 species